AGUAACCUUUCUUCUUUCAGGAGCAGCGGUCAAUGACGGGACGGGAGUAACCAACUUUCAUCGUUUAGCAGCCCUUCUUUUCAGGAACAACGGAUCAUCAACGGGAGCAGAAAACGGGUUUGGCCUAGGCGAAUCGAGGAGAAUGGACAAAGUUCUGCCUUUCCGCUGGCAGUUGACAACCGCUAGCAGUUCAUAUCUCACAUGUCUAUAUCGAACCCAUCCUAUGGUUGUAUCGCCAACCACACGAGGCGUCUUUCUAUUUCUCUGCUGCAUCCUGGCCCCGCACGGAUAUUUGCACGAUGUCAGACGUCAUCAUUAGAUCAAGCAGGUGACCAAAAGAGGGAGUCUUGAUAUAAUUACAUAGAUAUAAGCAAUCCCUAGAAGACAAUCCAGAAUUCAUCAGUGCCAAAGGACAAACUAUGGACGAUAUCCACAAAUAUCCGGGAUGUUAAAGCAUGUUCUACCCUGACGGACUCCGAUUUAAGAAAUCUGCAUUUGCGUGUAUUGUUCUAUAGCGAGCAAGGCAACGUUGCGUUGAACCAGACGUUGACUCAUCGUCGAUUAGAUUCAGAUAAGAGCUUUACUGCAUCACUAGUGCCAUUAGUAUGCUGCAGUUCGACGAGGACGACGGUGAUUCGGCUAUAAAUAAUCAGGAGCUUCACCUACACGUAUGCCACUAAUGUGAUCUCCCGAAAUAGUUGUGCAUCACUAUCACAUCUGCAAAAAGUAGUUUGAAACGACCACCUGAGCUGAUCCCACAUUGUACACGAUUUGGUCCGAACGAAGCAUCGCAAUCUGGUCCGAACGAAGUACAUCAAUCGGCCACUCGGAGAGACCGUGUUGGAGUACCAAACGAUGUACAAAAUAUAUUCAUCUUCGGUUUCAUGCUUGCCAAUUCAAUGACAGUUGGUGUACUUCUGUGAAGACAACCUUGAACAGAACUCAAUGAACAUGAAAUGAAUCCAGCUCCUUAGCGCAGAUACGUUAUUUCAUUGUAUUCGGUCCUCUGUUGAAGCUCAAGACAUAUUAUGGAAUGGAGAACAUUGAGACUUGACGGGGCAAAGGAUUGCACAAAUGAUUUCAAAAACAAAAAACGACUCUGUAUACUCUGACCAACGAUGGCGACGUGAAGCUGAUGUGUGGUGAUGAGUUGAGAUAAACCAGCGAACUGCUGUUUAGGAUAUGUCAUUAAAGUUCACGAAGAAGAUGGUGGUCUGGAAGUAGCACAAAGAAUGCUUGCAGAUGAUGAUUAUAGGGUUUUCAAUUAUGAG